ACUUAGUGGCGCACGGGUUGCGUAACGCGUGGGUAACCUGCCUUUAGGUACCGAAUAACAGUUAGAAAUGACUGCUAAUACCGUAUAAUGUCUUCGGACCAAAGAUUUAUCGCCUUUAUGAUGGGCCCGCGUUGGAUUAGGUAGUUGGUGGGGUAAAGGCCUACCAAGCCGACNAUCCAUAGCUGGUCUGAGAGGAUGAUCAGCCACACUGGGACUGAGACACGGCCCAGACUCCUACGGGAGGCA
rnacentral:rRNA from 1 species